rnacentral:rRNA from 1 species
GGUAAGUUCCGACCCGCACGAAAGGCGUAACGAUCUGGGCACUGUCUCAACGAGAGACUCGGUGAAUUAUAGUACCUGUGAAGAUGCAGGUUACCCGCGACAGGACGGAAAGACCCCGUGGAGCUUUACUGUAGCCUGAUAUUGAAUUUUGGUGCAACUUGUACAGGAUAGGUAGGAGCCUGAGAUUCCGGAGCGCUAGCUUCGGAGGAGGCGUCAGUGGAUACUACCCUGUUGUAUUGAAAUUCUAACCACAAGCCUGAUCGGCUUGGGAGACAGUGUCAGGCGGGCAGUUUGACUGGGGCGGUCGCCUCCUAAAGAGUAACGGAGGCGCCCAAAGGUUCCCUCAGAAUGGUUGGAAAUCAUUCGUAGAGUGUAAAGGCAGAAGGGAGCUUGACUGCGAGACGUACAGGUCGAGCAGGGUCGAAAGACGGGCUUAGUGAUCCGGUGGUUCCGCAUGGAAGGCCAUCGCUCAACGGAUAAAAGCUACCCGGGGAUAACAGGCUUAUCUCCCCCAAGAGUCACAUCGACGGGGAGGUUUGGCACCUCGAUGUCGGCUCAUCGCAUCCUGGGCUGUAGUCGGUCCCAAGGGUUGGGCUGUUCGCCCAUUAAAGCGGUACGCGAGCUGGGUUCAGAACGUCGUGAGACAGUUCGGUCCCUAUCCGUCGCGGGCGCAGGAAAUUUGAGAGGAGCUGUCCUUAGUACGAGAGGACCGGGAUGGACACACCGCUGGUGUACCAGUUGUUCUGCCAAGGGCAUCGCUGGGUAGCUAUGUGUGGCCGGGAUAAGUGCUGAAAGCAUCUAAGCACGAAGCCCCCCUCAAGAUGAGAUUUCCCAUUGCGCAAGCAAGUAAGAUCCCUCAAAGACGAUGAGGUAGAUAGGUUCGAGGUGGAAGCGUAGCGAUACGUGCAGCUGACGAAUACUAAUCGAUCGAGGACUUAACCAACA